rnacentral:tmRNA from 1 species
GGGGGUGAAUGGUCUCGACUCCGGACGUCGAGGCAGGAGAAGCGGGCCGAGGAUUGCGUUGCUGACCUCGUAAAAAAAGCGACGCAAACAGAAUAAGCGCCGACAACAGUCGCGCCGAUCUCGCUCUCGCUGCCUAACCAGCGACAGCAGGUCUGUCAGCCCGGGUCCGUCACCGGCCCGGUUGCUGGCAUCAGCUAGGUGACUCACCGUCCUGGCCGGCCGCGGGACAGGACGGGACAACCAACAGCGGCUGGGCCCGUCGCACCGGCUUGUGUGCAUGACCGGUGGGGCCGAGCAGGGACAGCGCACACUGCGCCCGGAGAAGUCCUGUUGAAGCGACGGAGGACGCGGGUUCGAUUCCCGCCACCUCCACAA